AGAGUUUGAUCAUGGCUCAGAUUGAACGCUGGCGGCAUGCUUUACACAUGCAAGUCGAACGGUAACGCGGGGGCAACCCUGGCGACGAGUGGCGAACGGGUGAGUAAUACAUCGGAACGUGUCCUGAGGUGGGGGAUAACCUAUCGAAAGGUAGGCUAAUACCGCAUACGCUCGGGAGAGGAAAGCGGGGGAUCGGUAACGACCUCGCGUCGCAGGAGCGGCCGAUGUCCGAUUAGCUAGUUGGUGGGGUAAAGGCUUACCAAGGCGACGAUCGGUAGCUGGUCUGAGAGGAUGAUCAGCCACACUGGGACUGAGACACGGCCCAGACUCCUACGGGAGGCAGCAGUGGGGAAUUUUGGACAAUGGGGGCAACCCUGAUCCAGCCAUGCCGCGUGAGUGAAGAAGGCCUUCGGGUUGUAAAGCUCUUUCGGUGGGAACGAAACGGUUACCACUAAUACUGGUGACUACUGACGGUACUCACAGAAGAAGCACCGGCUAACUACGUGCCAGCAGCCGCGGUAAUACGUAGGGUGCGAGCGUUAAUCGGAAUUACUGGGCGUAAAGCGUGCGCAGGCGGUGGCUCAAGCCAGGCGUGAAAUCCCCGGGCUUAACCUGGGAAUGGCGUUUGGGACUGGGUCGCUAGAGUGUGGCAGAGGGAGGUGGAAUUCCACGUGUAGCAGUGAAAUGCGUAGAGAUGUGGAGGAACACCGAUGGCGAAGGCAGCCUCCUGGGCCAGCACUGACGCUCAUGCACGAAAGCGUGGGGAGCAAACAGGAUUAGAUACCCUAGUAGUCC
rnacentral:rRNA from 1 species